CACAAGCGGUGGAGCAUGUGGUUUAAUUUGAAGCAACGCGAAGAACCUUACCAGGUCUUGACAUCCUCUGACAACUCUAGAGAUAGAGCGUUCCCCUUCGGGGGACAGAGUGACAGGUGGUGCAUGGUUGUCGUCAGCUCGUGUCGUGAGAUGUUGGGUUAAGUCCCGCAACGAGCGCAACCCUUGAUCUUAGUUGCCAGCAUUUAGUUGGGCACUCUAAGGUGACUGCCGGUGACAAACCGGAGGAAGGUGGGGAUGACGUCAAAUCAUCAUGCCCCUUAUGACCUGGGCUACACACGUGCUACAAUGGGAUGGUACAAAGGGCUGCAAGACCGCGAGGUCAAGCCAAUCCCAUAAAACCAUUCUCAGUUCGGAUUGUAGGCUGCAACUCGCCCUACAUGAAGGCUAGGAAUCGCUAGUAUCGCGGAUCAGCAUGCCGCG
rnacentral:rRNA from 1 species